rnacentral:rRNA from 1 species
AGCCGGCCUUGAAAUACCACCCUUUAAUGUUUGAUGUUCUAACGUGGACCCGUGAUCCGGGUUGCGGACAGUGUCUGGUGGGUAGUUUGACUGGGGCGGUCUCCUCCUAAAGAGUAACGGAGGAGCACGAAGGUUGGCUAAUCCUGGUCGGACAUCAGGAGGUUAGUGCAAUGGCAUAAGCCAGCUUGACUGCGAGCGUGACGGCGCGAGCAGGUGCGAAAGCAGGUCAUAGUGAUCCGGUGGUUCUGAAUGGAAGGGCCAUCGCUCAACGGAUAAAAGGUACUCCGGGGAUAACAGGCUGAUACCGCCCAAGAGUUCAUAUCGACGGCGGUGUUUGGCACCUCGAUGUCGGCUCAUCACAUCCUGGGGCUGAAGUAGGUCCCAAGGGUAUGGCUGUUCGCCAUUUAAAGUGGUACGCGAGCUGGGUUUAGAACGUCGUGAGACAGUUCGGUCCCUAUCUGCCGUGGGCGCUGGAGAACUGAGGGGGGCUGCUCCUAGUACGAGAGGACCGGAGUGGACGCAUCACUGGUGUUCGGGUUGUCAUGCCAAUGGCACUGCCCGGUAGCUAAAUGCGGAAGAGAUAAGUGCUGAAAGCAUCUAAGCACGAAACUUGCCCCGAGAUGAGUUCUCCCUGACCCUUUAAGGGUCCUGAAGGAACGUUGAAGACGACGACGUUGAUAGGCCGGGUGUGUAAGCGCAGCGAUGCGUUGAGCUAACCGGUACUAAUGAACCGUGAGGCUUAACCUU